rnacentral:rRNA from 1 species
UACAGAGGGUGCAAGCGUUAAUCGGAAUUACUGGGCGUAAAGCGUGCGUAGGUGGUUUGCUAAGUCAGGUGUGAAAUCCCCGGGCUCAACCUGGGAACUGCGCUUGAUACUGGCAGACUAGAGUGUGGUAGAGGGUAGUGGAAUUCCCGGUGUAGCGGUGAAAUGCGUAGAUAUCGGGAAGAACAUCAGUGGCGAAGGCGGCUACCUGGACCAACACUGACCCUGAGGUACGAAAGCGUGGGGAGCAAACACG